UUGACUUUGGAUCUUUUUUUUUUCCAUAUUUCGCCCCUUUCCAAUCAGGGAGAUUGCUAAGGGGCGGUGUCAGUUCCAAUCACGAGCUGCCCCCAUACCCGUGAGGGGGACCGGAUGGUGAAGGACGGGGAUCGCUGGCCCGGGCCCAGCACCCCGAAAAAACUUUUCAGGAGUUACCAGCUUGACGUUGGAUCAUCGUCGGCCAAUGGUCGCAUAGAAGUUGUACUGCACGUCCAUCGACGAUUCAUUAUGGAACAUUUUCACUUUUCACUAGAUGAUCAAGAUUCGAUUCAGAAAGGGUAUGGGUCGGCACGUUACAAAAAAAAGUAUAGGGUAAACUCCAUACUUUUUUUUUUGAUGAGUGAUCUACCAUGGUUAUGAGCGGCCUAUUGUGGCUUUAGAAGAGUCCUAUCUAUUGUUAGUCUUACCUUAAGAAAAGCAUCAUAAAAUUUGUAAGAAAAAAAUUUCAAAUCAUCCGCUAUAGUCUAUAUAUUUAUAAUUAAAAAUUAUGCUAUUUAUACAUAUGUUGCAAUCAUAAAUUGUUGAAAAAUUGAUCUAAGAUCUUUGAAAUUUUGGCAACAAUCGAUAAUAGCCAUGGGUAAUGCAAUACCAAGUUUAUUGAAGAUUUCAGGAUCCCGAUCACAUUGGAUAUUUAAUUUUUCAGGUUUUUUUAAAUUCUAAUUCAGAUAUUCUGGAUUCUUCAAUUUCCGGAUAAGAUUUAGAUUGUAAUAUUAUUAAAUUAGAAUUUCGG
rnacentral:lncRNA from 1 species